rnacentral:rRNA from 1 species
UGCGUAGGGGGCAAGCGUUGUCCGGAUUUACUGGGCGUAAAGAGCGUGUAGGCGGCCAAACAGGUCCGUUGUGAAAACUGGAGGCUUAACCUCCAGACGUCGACGGAAACCGUGUGGCUAGAGUCCGGAAGAGGAGAGUGGAAUUCCUGGUGUAGCGGUGAAAUGCGCAGAUAUCAGGAAGAACACCAAUGGCGAAGGCAGCUCUCUGGGACGGUACUGACGCUGAGACGCGAAAGCGUGGGGAGCGAACAGG